rnacentral:rRNA from 1 species
GACGAAGGAUGCAAGCGUUAUCCGGAUUCAUUGGGUUUAAAGGGAGCGUAGGCGGACUUGUAAGUCAGUGGUGAAAUCUGUGGGCUUAACCCACAAACUGCCAUUGAUACUGCAGGUCUAGAGUACAGUUGCCGUUGGCGGAAUAUGACAUGUAGUGGUGAAAUACUUAGAUAUGUCAUAGAACACCGAUUGCGAAGGCAGCUAACGAAGCUGUAACUGACGCUGAGGCUCGAAAGUGCGGGGAUCAAAC